CUCCCCUUGGGCUGCAACUGGAGGAAUGGAUCAGAAGCUCAUCAUUUGGGAUCUUCGACAGUCGACGCCACGCAGUACAUACGAGCACGAGGAUGGAGUAUCAUGUCUUACUUGGAUUGGCACAUCGAGAUAUCUUGAAACCGGAUGUGUCGAUGGUCGAGUACGAAUAUGGGAUAGCCUCUCUGAAGAAUGUGUAAGAACCUUCACUGGGCACUCUGACGCCAUCCAAUCUCUCUCUCGGUGUCUGCCAAUCAUGAGUACCUUGUUUCUAUUGCUCUCGAUACAUCCGCUCGGAUUUUUGAGAUUGCUGAGUAUGAUUGAUUGAAUAGGAUCUUUGUAAUUGAAUGUAACAAGUCUCGAUCCCAUUGUCGAUUCUCGUAUAAUUAUACAAGUUUAUACGGUUGUAUGUGUUCGUCUUGCAAGUAAUUGUAUGUUUAUUGUUGUUAGUGUCGUGUAAUUGUUGUUUUCAUUUAAGGUUUAGAGUCGAACCUAAGAUUUUUCAUGUAAUGGAUAAUGUAAUAACAUAAAUUACAACAAUAGUUUAGUUGCUUGUUCGG